CAGGUGUUGUCCUAGAGCUUUUUAUGGAUGCUGUCCUGUUUGUCAUCACAGCUCUGAGAAGCAGGUGUGAUUUCUUCUAAUUUGAAAACACAGGAGUAGAAGCUUAGAAAGAAGCAGUGACCUAUUCAUGUUCUCUCAGACAGACGAUGGUGAGACUGAGAAAGGAACUCAGAGCCGGGAGAAGCAAGUCCUAUCUUCCGGCCAACUCACAGCCACGUGGUCUACCAGUGCACUUGGCAUUAAGGGUUGAAUCGUAUCCCUGGCUCAAAUGCACGUGUUGAAAUCCUAACCUCUCAGUGCCUCAGAAUAUAACUUGAUUUGGAGACCGGGUGUUUACAGAGGCAACCAAGAUAAAGCAAGGUCAUUCUGGUGGGCUCUAAUCAAAUAUGACUGUUGUGCUUCUUCUAAGAAGGGGAAAGUUGGACACAGACAUGUACAGACGGAAGACGAUGUGACCAGGUGAAGAUACUGGGGGAAUGCCAUUGAACAUGAAGACAACCAAGCCAAGGGGAGAGGCCUGGAACAGAGCCCCCCCCCCCCCCCCCCUCACAGCCCUCAGAAAGAACCAGCCGUCCCAACCAACACCUUGAUUUGGGACUUCCAGCCUCCAGGAGAUGAGACAAGAAAUUUCUGUUGGUUAAGCCACCCAGGCUGUGAUACUUGGUUACAGUAGCCCUAGCAAACAAAUACAGCUGGCUGCCUGGUGAACAUAAUAAAUGUCAAUUGUGAUGCGGAAAGGGGUACCGCUAAGAACACAGGGAAGUUUGAGGCCACUAUAUGGCUUUGAGGAAGGGAAUAGGGAAGAGGGGGCAAUGCCCAGGAGGAAAGACGUCCCACAAAGUCCUGCUGCCUUCCUGCCCCUGGGGCCUUUGCCCGCCCUACUACUAGGAAUAAAUCUACAAGGCUGCCUUUUAAUUUCUACUAUUGUGGAGAGUAUGACUUGGUGACACUUUACUUAGUACUCGGAGCUUCUCUACAGCCCCACGGGUUGGGAGUCUCUGUGCUAUGACUGAUAUCCUCGCUCUAGAGAAAUUUUGUGCCAGAACUUGGAAUGAAAUUGGAUAGAGAAAUUGGUCUCUCCUGGCCCCCUUCCUGAUCGGCCCCAUCAGUCAAAUGCAGCAGACUGCAACGAUACUAGAAGUUUUUCACUGAAGAGUCAGAGCACAGUAACAAAAGUGGAUGACCAACCUGGAAGAAACUAACAGAAUCAAGAGCACUGCCUGGCUUUUCUUUCCUUACUUCAGUAAAUAUUUCAUAGAACAUCACUGAGCCCGGAAUUUCCUAAGUAAAGUGAGCAACUAAAUGAACAAUAAAAAUGGUUAUCACAUGCAUCUA